AGGACCUCUCUACAUUACUAGUGCGAACAAACCACUUGUACUAAGCUGCGAUCUAGUCUAAUAAACACGCCGUACUCUGUUAUACUAGCCGAAGAAUUUUUUUAGCCUGCUGCGUUCUGAUUGGUGGAACCAGGCCUCCCACGGAUCACGCCUCUCCACCGUUCAUUCUUACUCGAUCCAACGGUCCCUACUCCUUCUACUAUCUAUUUGUGCUUUCGUUGGUACCUUAUCCUCUCACACGAAAACGAGCACCAUACCAGCAGCAGGCCAGCAGCGCACUCGAGUACCUUCUAGGCUCUCCGCCGCUGACCGCCGCCGGCUGCGCGACAGGCCGUCGCCCGCGCCUCCCACCGCAGCACGCCAGUGAGCCCCGCCUCGCACUGCCUCUCUUUCGGUUGCUCUCCUAUCUCAUCUCUCUCUCUGCCUCUCCUUGCAGCAAUGGAGGCCGAGCGCCCAUGGCGUCACCCGAGGACACCUUCCAGCCGCCGUUCUCCUUCAAAUUCGUCGGGAUCCGGACGGAUCCGGAUGCCGGCGGCCCAUUCCCGACCUCCCUGCCUCGCCUGGUUUGUCGGCCACUCCGAUGUCGUCAUCUUCGUCACGGGAUCCAGCGCUACCGAUGGCUGGCCUCCUCCUCGCCUGGAUGUGACCCCCCCCACGCUGGCGCCUCCAAUCCGAGCAGCGGCAGCGAACACCUCGACAAGGGCAGUUUGCCAGAUCAGUGGCCAGAGAAAAGCCAUGGCGAUGAAGUCUGAUUGAUGACCCGCGAGCGCUCGGCGGCGCUUGAUGUGGUGGAUGCAGAAUCGUAUAGCUCCGGGUAGAGUAGUAGGCCAGAUCUGGAUAAAAAAUCUGUAAUUCCAUUUUUUGCUGUGUAUUUCUUCCUUUUUUGAUAAAGAAGUUAUGUAUAUGGUAUAUAUAUAUGCAAACUCCUUUAAGGCAAUGAGCAUAUUUAAUCAGAAUUUUUUUGUUGACUUAAUUUUCCAUGGACCAAAAGAAAGGAAGUCAUGGGCUAUCUCUCAAUUGCGAUUAGUGGGCCUUUGACUGAUCUGAAAUUUAAUGGGCUAAAAUUCUUACAAGGCUGAUCGAAAC
rnacentral:lncRNA from 1 species